UACGUAGGGGGCAAGCGUUGUCCGGAAUCAUUGGGCGUAAAGAGCGUGUAGGCGGCCUGGUAAGUCCGCUGUGAAAGUCCAGGGCUCAACCCUGGAAUGCCGGUGGAAACUGUCAGGCUCGAGUCCGGAAGAGGCGAGUGGAAUUCCUGGUGUAGCGGUGAAAUGCGCAGAUAUCAGGAGGAACACCAAUAGCGAAGGCGGCUCACUGGCCCGGAACUGACGCUGAGACGCGAAAGCGUGGGGAGCAAACAGG
rnacentral:rRNA from 1 species